rnacentral:piRNA from 1 species
CAAUUAUGCUGGGGUAGUUAA